UACAGAGGUCUCAAGCGUUGUUCGGAUUCAUUGGGCGUAAAGGGUGCGUAGGUGGCGCCGUAAGUCGGGUGUGAAAUUUCGGAGCUUAACUCCAGAACUGCCUUCGAUACUGGAGAGCUUGAGUCCGGGAGAGGUGAGUGGAACUGCGAGUGUAGAGGUGAAAUUCGUAGAUAUUCGCAAGAACACCAGUGGCGAAGGCGGCUCACUGGCCCGGUACUGACGCUGAGGUGCGAAAGCGUGGGGAGCAAACAGG
rnacentral:rRNA from 1 species